AUGGAGCUUGGCGCCAAGCGGCUCAAAUGUAUUACCAAGGGGUUUAUGUCCCGGUUUGGAUGGCAUGCGAUUGACAGGUUUCUUAGUCUUUGCCUUGGUCGUACGAGGACCAAAUCGAUGUGUGGAUUACGAGCUGCCGCUGCAAGCGCCAGGCAUCCACCAAAGGAAUCUCCAACAAGAUAUAUCGGUCUAUUUGGUGAUAAAUCAUGCUCAUAUUGGAUAGACUUUUCGACAAUUUGUAAUAGCCCUUCCUACUUCUGCGGUGAGGGCUCUACAGGGGCAACAUGGUGGCGGACAGAAGACCUCACCAAAGAGGACGCCCGGGAGACAAGACCAAGCAAGUUAAUGCACAUACCAAAACUGGCUGGUCAGAAGGAUGCCACCGUUGCCUCUGUCCUCGGAGUGGCAAACUUGUGGAUUGAUUUCCGCGGGGCUCUCUUGGUGAAUCUAGUACAGUGGAAUGAGAUCAUACUGAGAGUCGCGGGGGUGCAACAAACUCAGGAGCAGGACUCGUUUAGGUGGGAUCUUCACACCACCCGGGUGUUUUCUGUAUUUGGCAUUGGUGGAUACGCUGGUCAGUUUUAG
rnacentral:rRNA from 1 species